rnacentral:rRNA from 1 species
CCCAGCCUUGCUGGAUUACACGAGGGGCGCACGGGUGCGUUAACGCGUAAUGCAACCUACCUCUAACUGGGAAAAAGCCCCGAGAAAUCGGGGAUUAAUACUCCAUAAGGUCCAUUUAACUCAUGUUUUUUGGAUUAAAGUUCCGGCGGUUAGAGAUGGGCAUGCGUGACAUUAGUUUGUUGGUGAGGGUAACGGCUCACCAAGGCAACGAUGUCUAGGGGUUCUGAGAGGAUGAUCCCCCACACUGGUACUGAGACACGGACCAGACUCCUACGGGAGGCAGCAGUAAGGAAUAUUGGGCAAUGGACGCAAGUCUGACCCAGCCAUGCCGCGUGCAGGAUGACUGCCCUACGGGUUGUAAACUGCUUUUGCAUGGGAAGAACUCCCCCGACGUGUCGGGGGCUGACGGUACCAUGCGAAUAAGCAUCGGCUAACUCCGUGCCAGCAGCCGCGGUAAUACGGAGGAUGCAAGCGUUAUCCGGAUUUAUUGGGUUUAAAGGGUGCGUAGGCGGAAUGAUAAGUCAGUGGUGAAAUCCCCCGGCUCAACCGGGGAACUGCCAUUGAUACUGUCGUUCUUGAGUACAGUUGAGGUGAGUGGAAUGUAUCAUGUAGCGGUGAAAUGCUUAGAUAUGAUACAGAACACCGAUAGCGAAGGCAGCUCGCCAAGCUGUAACUGACGCUCAGGCACGAAAACGUGGGGAUCAAACAGGAUUAGAUACCCUGGUAGUCCACGCCGUAAACGAUGAUCACUCGCUGUUGGCGAUACACAGUCAGCGGCUAAGCGAAAGCAUUAAGGACCCACCUAUGAGAACAACCAAAAGCGA